GUCUUUUGAACUUGAUACUGCUGCUCUGCCUAGCUAUCUUUAUAACCUUGUUGAUCUUGGUGAUGUGAAAGUUGGAAAGGAGAAGCUGGAUGCUGAAGCAAUUGGUUCCCAUUCAAAGUCUUCCGAACAUGAAGUGCAACCUAUAAAGGGUUCUGAGAAGGUUUGCACCCCUAAGAAUCUCAAAAGUGGUCCUCAAAUGGGGAUUUCAGCACUUUCAAUAUCUUCAGGAGAAUCAACUGGGACAUGUAAGGAUGAUGAUCAAAUUGAUGUGGAUCAAAGGGCAAAAAAUGAAGACUGUAACAAAGUUGCAAGACACGGCAGGCUAACUCAACCUGAAGGAAUCAGUACUUCCUUUCAGGCUACUGAGAAGAGUGGAAGCCCUAAAAAACGGGAGAAAUUUGUGUCAUAUGCCUUGACACCUAGAAGAUCUCCUAGAGAUUUAAGCAAGGGAAGUACUCCAGUAAAUGCAAGUCAGUCUACAGCAGAAGACGCUGACAAGCAUAAUUCAACAAACAAAGAUGGAGGACACGGGCAACCAGGUGCUUCCUCAUGUCAGCCUGAUAAUAAAAUGCAUUUCCAUGUGAAGAAUGGAAGUUUAGUCAGUCCCACGAAAGGUCAGGAGUCUUCAGAUUGUAAGGUUAUAGAAGUAGAGCACUAUGAU
rnacentral:misc_RNA from 1 species